GGUUCUAUAGUGUAGAGGUUAGCACGCAAGAUUCUGAUUCUUGAGUCCCCAGUUCGAGCCCGGGUAGAACCU
rnacentral:tRNA from 2 species